UAGGGAAUAUUGGACAAUGGGGGCAACCCUGAUCCAGCCAUGCCGCGUGAGUGAAGAAGGCCCUCGGGUUGUAAAGCUCUUUUGUCCGGAAAGAAAAGCAUUCGGUGAAUACCCGGAUGUUCUGACGGUACCGGAAGAAUAAGCACCGGCUAACUUCGUGCCAGCAGCCGCGGUAAUACGAAGGGUGCAAGCGUUACUCGGAAUUACUGGGCGUAAAGGGCGCGUAGGUGGUUAAGUAAGUCAGAUGUGAAAUCCCCGGGCUUAACCUGGGAAUUGCAUUUGAAACUGAUUGGCUAGAGCACGGGAGAGGGAAGUUGAAUUUCCGGUGUAGCGGUGAUAUGCGUAGAUAUCGGAAGGAACACCAGUGGCGAAGGCGGUCUCUUGGUCCGAUACUGACGCUGAGGCGCGAAAGCGUGGGGAGCAAACA
rnacentral:rRNA from 1 species